GGGGGAGUAGCUCAGCGGUUCUAGAGCAGCCGUCUUAUACACGGCCGGUCCCUGGUUCGAAUCCAGGCUCCCCUA
rnacentral:tRNA from 1 species